UUCAUUCAAAGAGUGCGUAAUAGCUCACUAGUCGAGUGACCCUGCGCCGAAAAUGUACCGGGGCUAAAACAGUUUACCGAAGCUGUGGAUUACUGUUAAGGUAAUGGUAGGAGAGCGUUCUAUGUGUGAUGAAGGUAUACUGUGAAGAGUGCUGGAACGCAUAGAAGUGAGAAUGCCGGUAUGAGUAGCGAAAGACAGGUGAGAAUCCUGUCCACCGUAAGACUAAGGAUUCCAGGGGAAGGCUCGUCCGCCCUGGGUUAGUCGGGACCUAAGGAGAGACCGAAGGGUGUAUCCGAUGGACAACAGGUUGAUAUUCCUGUACUAGAGUAUAUAGUGAUGGAGGGACGCAGUAGGCUAACUAAACCGGACGACUGGAAGAGUCCGGCUAAGCAGUGAGGUGUGAUGUGAGUCAAAUGCUUACAUCUAUAACAUUGAGCUGUGAAGGGGAGCGAAGUUAAGUAGCGAAGUUAGAGACGUCACACUGCCAAGAAAAGCUUCUAGCGAUAUGUAUACUCUACCCGUACCGCAAACCGACACAGGUAGUCGAGGCGAGUAGCCUCAGGUGAUCGAGAGAACUCUCGUUAAGGAACUCGGCAAAAUGGCCCCGUAACUUCGGGAGAAGGGGCGCUGACUGAAGGUCAGCCGCAGUGAAUAGGCCCAAGCAACUGUUUAUCAAAAACACAGCUCUCUGCUAAAUCGUAAGAUGAUGUAUAGGGGGUGACGCCUGCCCGGUGCUGGAAGGUUAAGAGGAGUGCUUAGCGCAAGCGAAGGUAUGAAUUGAAGCCCCAGUAAACGGCGGCC
rnacentral:rRNA from 1 species